UACAGAGGGUGCAAGCGUUGUUCGGAAUUAUUGGGCGUAAAGGGCGCGUAGGCGGCAUCGUAAGUCAGUUGUGAAAUCCCAGGGCUUAACCCUGGAAGUGCGGCUGAUACUGCGAAGCUUGAGUCCCGGAGAGGGUGGUGGAAUUCCCAGUGUAGAGGUGAAAUUCGUAGAUAUUGGGAGGAAUACCGGUGGCGAAGGCGACCACCUGGACGGAGACUGACGCUGAGGCGCGAAAGCGUGGGGAG
rnacentral:rRNA from 1 species